rnacentral:rRNA from 1 species
AACGAACGCUGGCGGCAUGCCUAACACAUGCAAGUCGAACGAGACCUUCGGGUCUAGUGGCGCACGGGUGCGUAACGCGUGGGGACCUGCCCUUAGGUUCGGAAUAACUCCCCGAAAGGGGUGCUAAUACCGGAUAAUGUCUUCGGACCAAAGAUUUAUCGCCUUUGGAUGGGCCCGCGUUGGAUUAGCUAGUUGGUAGGGUAAAAGCCUACCAAGGCGACGAUCCAUAGCUGGUCUGAGAGGAUGAUCAGCCACACUGGGACUGAGACACGGCCCAGACUCCUACGGGAGGCAGCAGUGGGGAAUAUUGGACAAUGGGCGAAAGCCUGAUCCAGCAAUGCCGCGUGAGCGAUGAAGGCCUUAGGGUUGUAAAGCUCUUUUACCCGGGAUGAUAAUGACAGUACCGGGAGAAUAAGCUCCGGCUAACUCCGUG